GAAGUUCAACGGGAACGGUUGUGUUUUGCGCGCGCUCUGUACGCGGAGACACGUGUGUGGCGUUGUAUAUUUCAUGUGCUUGUGUGCUGUGGUGGUGCGUAGGAUGCAGUUAUUAUCGUUAUAAUAAUAAUGUGAGGAAGUGUGAGCCGAUAGAAGUGUGUAAUAAAAUCAGUUGAUAUUAUUGUGUGCGCACUCACAUGUGCACAUUAAAAUUCGCAUUGUUAUCGAUUCUCGUCUGCGCGUCUUUGAAGUUGGCAAAUAAGAAGUGUGACGAGAAACGCGUUACUGGUUUUGGGAUCACCAAUGAGUCAUUUCCUUUGUAGUGAAUUGAAAUAAAUCGACAAAAACUAAAAUUGGGCCAUCAAAGUGAGCUGAGUAACGAUCAACAAAAGCAAAAACAAACAUCGAAGUAGCUGCCUGGAGAAGGACACGUCGACUUGGAAGUCUCCGACCAGCGGAAAACCACCGAAGCUAAUUAAAGUCCGCGCGUCCAAAGUGCCAGGCGAGUUGGUAUCUUCAUGAUAUGCCAAAGUGAUGUCAUUCUUGUCCAAAACGCUCAUCGACGACAACAACGACUUCGACUGCCAGUCUGAGCCAGCAGCAGCAACAGUCCAUCAAGAGCAGGCAGGUCGAGCGGAGGCAGCAGCAGCAACAGCUGAAAAGUGUAAUAUGACGUGAUUCGUGACAAACAAUCAAGAGGGAGAGAAAACGAAAUUCUGCGGAAAAGUGAUGUGAUUGUCUCGAAGUUGGGUGAUUUUUGCCAAAGUAACCUCCAACGAAGAUCUGCAGUGCUGUGAGCAGCUGUUGCAAGUUCAAAAGUUCGCGAAAUUGAGUGAAAGUUUGAAAAGAGAAAUAAAUAAGUUGAAUUGUUAAACGAAGAAAGGAAACGUCAGUGCGUUAAAAGUCACAACCUUAUAAAAGGAAAAGGCGAAAGCAUCCGCGAAUUGUCCGUGUCCAGUCCAUGAAAAGUGUUAUUCAGUGAAUCGUCCUAAAGAGUGUUGUUCAGAAAGAUGUAAGCGUGUUUAGUGUCAACCUUGAGUUGUUCAUACCGAGAGCCGUGUACAUCAUCGCGCCAGCUAAUU